rnacentral:tRNA from 1 species
UCUUGUUAUUAUGGGAAUUUUGAAAGUUCCUUCGGGGAGAAUUAUAUACUCCCAACAAGAA